rnacentral:rRNA from 1 species
AUAACCCUCGGAAACGGGGGCUAAUACCGGAUAUGACUCCUGGUUGCAUGGCUGGGGGUGGAAAGGCUUUUGCUGGUAGGGGAUGGGCUCGCGGCCUAUCAGCUUGUUGGUGGGGUGAUGGCCUACCAAGGCGUUGACGGGUAGCCGGCCUGAGAGGGUGUCCGGCCACACUGGGACUGAGACACGGCCCAGACUCCUGCGGGAGGCAGCAGUGGGGAAUAUUGCGCAAUGGGCGGAAGCCUGACGCAGCGACGCCGCGUGGGGGAUGAAGGCCUUCGGGUUGUAAACCUCUUUCGACCUUGACGAAGCUGCCGGUUUUUGCCGGUGGUGACGGUAGGGGUGGAAGAAGCGCCGGCCAACUACGUGCCAGCAGCCGCGGUAAGACGUAGGGCGCGAGCGUUGUCCGGAUUUAUUGGGCGUAAAGAGCUCGUAGGCGGCCUGUCGCGUCAAUCGUGAAAUUCUGCGGCUUAACUGUGGGGUUGCGGUUGAUACGGGCGGGC